ensembl:snRNA U6 U6 spliceosomal RNA
GUGUUUGCUGAAGCAGCCCAUAUUCUAAAGACUGGAACAACAUGGAGAAUACUAGCAUGGCCCCUCUGCAAGGAUGACAUGGAAAUUCGUGAAGCGUUCCAUAUUUUU